AGGAUAAUAGUUAAAUAAUAACAUUUAAUUUGCACUUAAAAAUAAUUCUCAGAAUUUAUCUU
rnacentral:tRNA from 1 species